rnacentral:rRNA from 1 species
AGGAAUAUUGGUCAAUGGACGCAAGCCUGAUCCAGCCAUGCCGCGUGAGUGAUGAAGGCCCUAGGGUUGUAAAGCUCUUUUGUGCGGGAAGAUAAUGACGGUACCGCAAGAAUAAGCUCCGGCUAACUUCGUGCCAGCAGCCGCGGUAAUACGAAGGGGGCUAGCGUUGCUCGGAAUCACUGGGCGUAAAGGGUGCGUAGGCGGAUCUUUAAGUCAGAGGUGAAAGCCUGGAGCUCAACUCCAGAACUGCCUUUGAUACUGAGGAUGUCGAGUUCGGGAGAGGUGAGUGGAACUGCGAGUGUAGAGGUGAAAUUCGUAGAUAUUCGCAAGAACACCAGUGGCGAAGGCGGCUCACUGGCCCGAUACUGACGCUGAGGCACGAAAGCGUGGGGAGCAAACA